ensembl:rRNA 5S_rRNA 5S ribosomal RNA
GCUUACGGCCAUACCAACCUGGCUAUGCCCGAUCUCGUCUGAUCUCGGAAGCUAAGCAGGUUUGGGCUUGGUUAGUACUUGGAUCGGAGACCACCUGGGAAUACCAGGUGCUGUAAGCU